rnacentral:lncRNA from 10 species
GGACUGGGCUAGGGAGUUACUGCUAAGGCAUGUGAGGUUUUAGAAUGGACAAACAUUUUCUAAAGUUAAAUUGUGAUGGUUGCACAACCCUAUAAAUACACUAAAAACCAUUGAAUUGUAUACUUUAUUUUUAUUUAUUUAUUUUUUUGAGACAGAGUCUUGUUGCCCAGGCUGGAAUGCCGGGGCACGAUCUCGGCUCACUGCAACCCCCACCUCCCGGGUUCAAGUGAUUCUCCUGUUUCAGCCUCCCGAGUAGCUGGGAUUACAGGCAUGUGCCACCACUCCCGGCUAAUUUUUGUAUUUGUAGUAGAGAUGUGCUUUCACCAUGUUGGCCAGGCUGGUCUUGAACUCCUGAUCCUCAGGUGAUCCACCUCGGCCUCCCAAAGUGCUGGGAUUACAGUGAGCCAUCGGCCUAGCCUGAAUUGUAUACUUUAAAUGGGUGAAUUGCACAGCAUGUGAAUUACAUCUCAAUAAAGCUGUUUAAAAGGAAAGAUAUCUGCUUCUUCCUAUUGGCUGAAAUACAAAUGUGUCGGCUGGUGCUAGUGCAGCUACCCUGAGACCCCAAGUCUACAGAGUGAUGAGAUUGGCAGAUCAACAGUACAGGAAUCUGAUGAUUUUAUGAGGUUGAUCUACCAGCCCUGAACUGCUUCCCUCUGGACUUUUGCAUGGGAAAUAAAAUUUGACCUUGUAAGCAACUAUUAUUCUGGAUUUUCUGUCACAGCUAAAUCUAAUCCUAAAGGAUACACUACCCAGUUUAGAGCAAGUCAUUCCAUUUUAUAUGUCUUAAUUCCUUAAUCUACAAAAUGGGUACAUUUUGUUUCCCUGAUUGCAAAUACAAGGAUAGAUUAGAUAAUGCAUGUGCUAAAUAUUUAAUUCCUUGGAAAUUAAAUAUAAACUAAAGCCAAAGUUUCUUUAGAUAAUCUACUUUUACAAUUUGUGGGUUUUUUUUUUUUUUCCUUUCUGUGGAGAAUAGGAUCUUGCUAUGUUUCUCCGACUGGUCUCGAACUCUUGGGCUCAAGCUUUAUUCCUGCCUCUGCCUCCCUAAGUGUUGGGAUUACAGGCGUGAGCCACUGUGUUCAGCUAGAUAAUCAAUCUACUUUCAAGUACAUCCUACUGAUACGCAUUUUUAAAAGGUUUGGAAAUAUUGCAUUCUCAACACUUGUACUUUGUUGUUUAUACUACUGCAAUUUUAAGUUUGAAAGGCAGCUGCCUUUUAAUUAAAACAAGACUAAAAGCUGAUAUACUAAAAAAUAUCUGAAAGGAUGCACAUCAAAAUGUUACUAGUAGUUUUUAAUUUCUAAUUUUUAUUUUUUACUUUUUUCUUUUUCUUUUUUUCAA